rnacentral:rRNA from 1 species
UUUUCGCAAUGCCCGAAAGGGUGACGAAGCGACGCCGCGUGGGUGAGGAAGGCCCUCGGGUUGUAAAGCCCUGUCAGGAGUUAAGAAAUGUAGGCACGCUAAUAUCGUGUCUAUUUGACAAAGGCUCCAAAGGAAGCCACGGCUAACUCUGUGCCAGCAGCCGCGGUAAUACAGAGGUGGCAAGCGUUGUUCGGAAUUAUUGGGCGUAAAGAGCACGUAGGUGGAUUUGUAAGUCAGAUGUGAAAGCCUUCUGUUCAACGGAAGAAUUGCAUCUGAAACUACAGACCUUGAGUAUAGGAGGGGAGAAUGGAACUUCUGGUGGAGCGGUGAAAUGCGUAGAUAUCAGAAGGAACGCCGGCGGCGAAAGCGAUUCUCUGGCCUAUUACUGACACUCAGUGUGCGAAAGCUAGGGGAGCAAACGGGAUUAGAUACCCCGGUAGUCCUAGCCGUAAACGAUGGGCACUAAGUAGAGGGGUUUUAA